CGAUCUUUGGUAAAGGAUGACUUAUUCGCAGCAGGAUUGUUCAAAUAACCCUUGGUAACGUUGAUUCCGCGAACACAAAUUUCUCCCUCUUUUCCUUGGGGCAUUUCGUUACCUUUCUGGUCCAAAAUUUUGAGUUCAACUCCAAAAGGCUUACCAACUGAAUGAGGUUUGUGUACCAAAGGAGGUAAGGGAUUGGUAGUCAUUUGAUGAGAAGCUUCGGUCAUAGCAUAUGCCUCAAGGACAGGAGCACGGAAGGUAGCCUCUAGUUUGCUUAAGACUGGUGGUGCCAAGGGAGAAGAGCAAGAACGAAUGAAACGAAUUCGAGGAAGAGGUUUGGGAGGAGGAGUACGGAGAAGGAUUUGAUGAAUAGUGGGGACCGCAGUAUACCAAGUAGCACCAUACUGAAUAAACUCCUUCCAGAAGCUGUGAGCAGAGAAUUUGGGAGGUACAACGGCACAUCCACCAGAAGCUAAAGUAGAAAGGAGGCCACAAAGAAGACCGUGAACGUGAAACAAAGGCAUGACAACGUAAGAAGUAUCUCUUGG